UACCGAGGUGGCAAGCGUUGUUCGGAAUUACUGGGCGUAAAGGGCGCGUAGGCGGCCAUCUAAGUCAGACGUGAAAUCCCCCGGCUUAACCUGGGAACUGCGUCUGAUACUGGAAGGCUUGAGUAUGGGAGAGGGAUGUAGAAUUCCAGGUGUAGCGGUGAAAUGCGUAGAUAUCUGGAGGAAUACCGGUGGCGAAGGCGGCAUCCUGGACCAUUACUGACGCUGAGGCGCGAAAGCUAGGGGAGCAAACGGG
rnacentral:rRNA from 1 species